CUUGACCGAGCCGAGCCAGAGCGGUUGGUCGGCCGGCCGGCCCUGCCCGUACGUCGACAGCAGCGCCUGCGCCUC
rnacentral:antisense_RNA from 4 species